rnacentral:rRNA from 1 species
CCACGGGUGGGUAACACGUAUCCAACCUGCCGUCUACUCUUGGACAGCCUUCUGAAAGGAAGAUUAAUACAAGAUGGCAUCAUGAGUUCACAUGUUCACAUGAUUAAAGGUAUUCCGGUAGACGAUGGGGAUGCGUUCCAUUAGAUAGUAGGCGGGGUAACGGCCCACCUAGUCUUCGAUGGAUAGGGGUUCUGAGAGGAAGGUCCCCCACAUUGGAACUGAGACACGGUCCAA